rnacentral:rRNA from 1 species
AUUGAACGCUGGCGGAAUGCUUUACACAUGCAAGUCGAGCGGCAGCGCGGGGGCAACUCUGGCGGCGAGCGGCGAACGGGUGAGUAAUGCAUCGGAACAUGUCCGGUUGUGGGGGAUAACCUGGCGAAAGCCAGGCUAAUACCGCAUGAGCUCGAGAGAGGAAAGCGGGGGACCUGCAAGGGCCUCGCGCGACCGGGUUGGCCGAUGUCCGAUUAGCUAGNGGUGGGGUAAAGGCUUACCAAGGCGAUGAUCGGUAGCUGGUCUGAGAGGAUGAUCAGCCACACUGGGACUGAGACACGGCCCAGACUCCUACGGGAGGCAGCAGUGGGGAAUUUUGGACAAUGGGGGCAACCCUGAUCCAGCCAUUCCGCGUGAGUGAAGAAGG